rnacentral:misc_RNA from 1 species
UAUCCGUAGGUGAACCUGCGGAGGGAUCAUUACAGAGUUCUCGCCCUCGCGGGUAGAUCUCCCACCCACUGUUAUCGUUACUGUCGUUUCUUUGGCGGGCCUCCGGGUCCCCGGCCGCCUGCGUCGAAUAGGCGGCGCGCGCCCGCCAGAGGCAUUCUAACCCUGAAUGUUAGUGUCGUCUGAGUACUAUAUAAUAGUUAAAACUUUCAACAACGGAUCUCUUGGUUCUG